GACGAACGCUGGCGGCGUGCUUAACACAUGCAAGUCGAACGGAAAGGCCCUGCUUUUGUGGGGUGCUCGAGUGGCGAACGGGUGAGUAACACGUGAGUAACCUGCCCUUGACUUUGGGAUAACUUCAGGAAACUGGGGCUAAUACCGGAUAGGAGCUCCUGCUGCAUGGUGGGGGUUGGAAAGUUUCGGCGGUUGGGGAUGGACUCGCGGCUUAUCAGCUUGUUGGUGGGGUAGUGGCUUACCAAGGCUUUGACGGGUAGCCGGCCUGAGAGGGUGACCGGCGACAUUGGGACUGAGGUACGGCCCAGAGUCCUACGGGAGGCAGCAGGGGGAAAUAUUGCACAAUGGGCGGAAGCCUGAUGCAGCAACGCCGCGUGCGGGAUGACGGCCUUCGGGGUGUAAACCGCUUUCGCCUGUGACGAAGCGUGAGUGACGGUAAUGGGUAAAGAAGCACCGGCUAACUACGUG
rnacentral:rRNA from 1 species